GAUGAACGCUAGCUACAGGCUUAACACAUGCAAGUCGAGGGGAAACGACAUCCAAAGCUUGCUUUUGAUGGGCGUCGACCGGCGCACGGGUGAGUAACGCGUAUCCAACCUGCCCAUCACUUGGGAAUAACCUUGCGAAAGUAAGACUAAUACCCAAUGAUAUCCCACGAAGGCAUCGGAAUGGGAUUAAAGAUUUAUCGGUGAUGGAUGGGGAUGCGUCUGAUUAGCUUGUUGGCGGGGUAACGGCCCACCAAGGCAACGAUCAGUAGGGGUUCUGAGAGUAAGGGCCCUCACAUGGGAACUGGGACACGGGCCAAACUCCUACGGGAGGCAGUAGUAAGGGAUAUUGGUCAAUGGGCGAGAGCCUGAACCAGCCAAGUAGCGUGCAGGAAGACGGCCCUAUGGGUUGUAAACUGCUUUUAUAAGGGAAUAAAGUGGGUCACGUGUGACUUUUUGCAUGUACCUUAUGAAUAAGGACCGGCUAAUUCCGUG
rnacentral:rRNA from 1 species